rnacentral:rRNA from 1 species
UGCAAGUCGAGCGGAGAUGAGGUGCUUGCACCUUAUCUUAGCGGCGGACGGGUGAGUAAUGCUUAGGAAUCUGCCUAUUAGUGGGGGACAACAUUCCGAAAGGAAUGCUAAUACCGCAUACGUCCUACGGGAGAAAGCAGGGGAUCUUCGGACCUUGCGCUAAUAGAUGAGCCUAAGUCGGAUUAGCUAGUUGGUGGGGUAAAGGCCUACCAAGGCGACGAUCUGUAGCGGGUCUGAGAGGAUGAUCCGCCACACUGGGACUGAGACACGGCCCAGACUCCUACGGGAGGGCAGCAGUGGGGGAAUAUUGGACAAUGGGGGGGAACCCUGAUCCAGCCCAUGCCGCGGGUGGUAAGAAGGCCUUAUGGUUGUAAAGGCACUUUAAGCGAGGAGGAGGCUACUGAAACCUAAUAC